AACAAAAAAAAAAAAAAUCGUCAUAAAUGAUUUCGGCUAUUUUGUACAUUGUUUGUGUUGACCUAAACCCAAAGAUUCAUCACCAUUUAAAUCUAUUCAUUCAUCGAUAAAUAACAUAUAUCGUUGGACGUUUGUUUUUGUUGUUCUGGCUGUAUUAUAUUAUGGUUUGGUUUGCUAAAAGAAGAAUGUCUCUAUUUUUUCCAACUUGCUCGAUUGUAUUUACCGAGUUGAUGAUUUAAAUACAACUUUUUUUUUUUGCUUGGUUAAUCUCCAUGUCCAUUUUUCUUCAGUAUCAGAUCGACAACAUAUGGAAACCAGAUUUUUUUGUUAUUUAAGUUUGUUGUUGUUGUUUGUGUGUUCAUCGUGGCGUAUCUUUGUGUGUGUGCGUUUGUGUGUGUCCGAACAUGAAAUUUGAAUCAAUUUAUUGAAAGAUGAUCAAUAUUCAGUCGACAAAUGACAAACUAUUGUUCAUCACUUUAUUCCAUCAUUCAUCGAUGUUUUUUAAUCAUAUCCAAUUUAUAUAGUGACCAUCAUCAUCCUUAUCAUUCUAUCAGUUUAAAAUGUAGAUUGUUUACUUAUUAAUACCGAUAAUUUGACAAAAAUCACUUACACACACACACACAAACACACAAAAUAUUCUUCUUUUCACUCUAAAAAACAUUUCAUCAAACUCAUCGUUGUUGUUGUCAUCGUGGUUGAAUAUAAUUCGGCUCCCAAAGUCUACAUUUGUGAAUCCAACACACACACACACAUCUAUAUAUGAUGUUAUAACAAUUCUAUAUAUUCAUAUUGCUACUACCCAGAAAACUGUUUUUUUUAUCCUCGAAACAAAACAAAAAAAAAAAAAAAUCUUCAUUCAAACAACCAGAAUCAUGAUAUUAAUCAAUGACUUUGUGUUUAUGUUUAGGUUUCGGUUUCUAUUCUACGAGCUUCUGAUACAAUGAUAACAGUACAGGAAAAAAAAAUACUCGAUCGAAUGUUGAUGAUGAUGAAAAUGAAAAAACCAAAACAUUCUAAAUAGUAGCAGUAUAUAGAGAAUCCUGAAAAGUAUGUGUGUAUAUAUGGUUCAUCUAUCAUUCUCAACAACAACAACAACAAC